GAUGUUGGUUGGUGUUUUGCAUAGAGACAUUGUGUGGCUAAACUGCAGCUGCUAUAAAAGUGCCAGUGUCCCUGUGCCAUAUUAAUGAUCUGUAUGUGUCACAGUGCAUAGAUAGAGACAUGUCUUAUCCCACUUAUCUACUGCUGCUGCUGCUACUGGGGAUCCUCCUGAUCUUUAUCCAAGGUUCCUAUGGGCAUAUUGUACUGACUCAGUCUCCAGAUUAUGUCUCUGUGUCACCAGGAGAAACUGUCACCCUCACAUGUAAAGCCAGUAGCAGUGUUAUUGACGACAAUAGAGACAAUUGGUUGGCCUGGUUCCAACAGAAAUCAGGGCAGGCACCAAAGCUGCUGAUCUAUAAGGCAAACAAGCGACACACAGGGACCCCAGAGCGGAUCAGCGGCAGUGGGACUGGAACUGAUUUCACUCUUACAAUCAGCAGAAUGGAAGCUGAAGAUGCAGCAGAUUAUUACUGUCAGUUUCAUGGUGGUUCCCCUCUCACACAGUGAUACAGAGCUGAACAAAAACCUUCCUCUUUCUAUAGAAGCUUCAGUUACACAUAUAACAUGGAUCAUACUGAGAUAUCAGACUUCUUACUCUGCUGCCCUCCUGGCUAAGGGGUUGAUGCUAAUUAUUGAGAAACCAAUUUAUUUAACCACAUGUUUGAGCCCCUGUGGGCUCUGAGAGACCCCUGAUUAAUUUCUCUCCUAUAGUAAAGAGCAGUGAAUGGGUUUCAACACUUACACUUA